GCAAGUCGAACGAAGUCGCCCAAUUGAUUCUUAGGUGCUUGCAUUAAGAUGAUUUUGGAUCCGACUGAGUGGCGAACUGGUGAGUAACACGUGGGUAACCUGCCCAGAAGAAGGGGAUAACACCUGGAAACAGAUGCUAAUACCGUAUAACAACAAGAACCACAUGGUUCUUGUUUGAAAGCUGGCCUUUGUGCUAGUGCUUCUGGAUGGACCCGCGGCGUAUUAGCUAGUUGGUGAGAUAAUAGCUCACCAAGGCAAUGAUACGUAGCAGACCUGAGAGGGUAAUCUGCCACAAUGGGACUGAGACACGGCCCAUACUCCUACGGGAGGCAGCAGUAGGGAAUCUUCCACAAUGGACGAAAGUCUGAUGGAGCAACGCCGCGUGAGUGAAGAAGGGUUUCGGCUCGUAAAACUCUGUUGUUAGAGAAGAACAGCCGUGAGAGCAACUGCUCACGGUAUGACGGUAUCUAACCAGAAAGUCACGGCUAACUACGUGCCAGCAGCCGCGGUAAUACGUAGGUGGCAAACGUUGUCCGGAUUUAUUGGGCGUAAAGGGAGCGCAGGCGGUUUAUUAAGUCUGAUGUGAAAGCCUUCGGCUUAACCGGAGAAGUGCAUCGGAAACUGAUAAACUUGAGUGCAGAAAAGGAUAGUGGAACUUCAUGUGUAGCGGUGAAAUGCGUAGAUAUAUGAAGGAACACCAGUGGCGAAAGCGGCUAUCUGGUCUGUAACUGACGCUGAGCUCGAAAGCAUGGGUAGCAAACAGGAUUAGAUACCCUGGUAGUCCAUGCCGUAACGAUGAAUGCUAGUGUUGGAAGGUUUCCGCCUUUCAGUGCCGCAGCUAACGCAUUAAGCAUUCCGCCUGGGGAGUACGACCGCAAGGUUG
rnacentral:rRNA from 2 species